UACGAGUGCCCCGAGCGUUAUCCGGAAUUAUUGGGCGUAAGGGUGUGUAGGUGGCCACGUUAGUCUUUUGUUAAAACCCGGGGCUCAACUCCGGAUCGGCGAAGGAAACGGCGUGGCUAGAGGAUGGCAGGGAUGUAUGGAACUCAUGGAGUAGGGGUGAAAUCCGUUGAUAUCAUGGGGAACACCAAAAGCGAAGGCAGUACGUUGGGCCACUCCUGACACUGAAACACGAAAGCGUGGGUAGCGAAUGGG
rnacentral:rRNA from 1 species